GGAGAAUUAAUAAUAGAACAAUUAAAUAAAUACAGCCCAAUUAAAUACAGUACAAUAAAUUCAGCCCAAUUAAAUAAAUACAGCCCAAUAAAUUUAAUUCAGCCCAUCCACACUUUUCAACCCUAAAAUACAGCUUAAAUACUCAUCUCCUCUAAAAUUAGGGUACAGCGCCGCUUCUUCUCUCUCAUUUCUUCUCCCAUCCGUGCUCUCCCUUGUCUUCUCUCUCCCUCUGCCGACUUUCUUCCAUCCGCCGACGAGAUGCUCAAACGUUCUCUCUAUCGUCUUCUCUCUCCCUCUGCCGGAGAAAAACCUGCAACCGUAUCACGGCAAAGCCGCGGUCCGAAAACCCUUAGAUCCCUAAACUACCAACUCCGGCCUCACAUCUAGACGACGCUCCACGCGGUGUCGCCUCUCUCCUCGACGACGAUAAAUGAGCCGCUGCCUCCCUCUGCUCAGCCCUUAUCCAGCCGCCGCCGUCCGAGUUUCAAACUACGGCGUCGCCCAGCCCUAGCUUCCAGAUCUCGGCCUCCUCCCUCGACUGCAUCUUUAAUUCUUGCGAUCUCCAUAUCUGAAGUAUCCCAAGAAGCUUGUUGUGUAAAGUUAAGUUGAAAUUAACUGUUAUUUGACCGAUUUUAUGUGCAUCCUUCGUUCCAAUAAUUUGUAUGUUUUGCUUGUAUGCAUGUAACAUAUGGAGGACGACUGGUAUACAUAAUUUUCUUUAUCUCCUGAUUUUGUUCCCCACCCCUUUUGCACUUAAGUUAGAGAAUGUGGAGAGAAUGUGGAGCUCCCGUGUCUUGUCAGUUAUUUCACAAAAGUCUUUAUCUUUCAUUUUCUAUAUUUUGUCUUCCUUUUUGUCUUUCAACUUAUGAAGAAAUUAAUUGAUAUAUUUCCAACAAAGAAUAUUUCUUCGGUUGCCUGAUUUUUGUCUAUCUGUUUUGGGCAUCUAAUUUUUUGAAAAAUCUAUAAACAAAAAAAAUAUUUUUCGCAGAUCUGAUUUCAAUACUAUUUUUUGGCAUCUGAUUCAGUAGAUCUAUGAACAUCUUUGCUCUUGUUUGCAGUCUGUUUUUCGCAUUUGAUUUUUGUAGAUCUAUGAACAUCUUUAUUUUCAUUCGCAUGUAGAUCUAUGAACAUCCACACAAAUUCAUUCUUUCGACAAUUUUUGCUACUGAUAUACAUCCUUGUUGAUUUAUACAACCUUUUCAACUUCAUAAGCCUGCAGAGUAAACUUUCUUGUGCCUUUUGCAGAUCUCAGUGGUAAUACUUCAAGAUCUCAGUGGUAAUACUUCCACGGAAAGAUUAAGAAAGAUUCAGUCUAUACUUCCACGGAAAGAUUAAGAAACAGAAAGAUUAAGAAAGAUUCAGUCUUAAUCUUCUGCGGUUUUGAUCUGCUGCAAAAAUUCAGAAAGUAGAAAAAACUGUAUAAAUUUGUAUCUUAGUUGUAAUUGAAACUAAUACUAAUAAACAGCAAAAAACUAAACAGAAUAAAAAGAAAAA